rnacentral:lncRNA from 1 species
CAUGGUCAAGGUGCAUCUUUUGCCUCCCUGUUCUCCCUCUUCUCCUUACAUCUGCAGAGAAGCUGGACACACUGGUGGCUGUGGGAGGCUAGUGGAUUAUUAAAACUGGGGCCCAUCCCCCCAGGACCCCUUCACUUGCCAGCCAAGCCAACUACCUUUCUCCUCCUGUGGCUGUAUCUCCCAAAAUUGUUGAUAUCGCAUUUUCAUGUACCAGGAAAGUGAUUUAUCCCUCCUGAGUGAAAACAGAUCUUCCCCCAAAUCUGCCUGUCCUAGUAAAUGCUCAAGUACAAUAAUUAUGUUUAUUAAUGAGGAACUAGAAUGAAAAUUCAAAGGGUUCAGUGGAUGGGCAGCACACUACCCUCAGGGUGGGCCAUGGGCUGCCUAUGUUUUUCCAGAUGCCCAGGGGUUGUGUGAGCCCUCUGAAUGCUGACUACUGACUUGCUUGGUAGAAGUCAGUUGGCUUAUUUCUGUUUGGUGACAGCUUAUCUUUUCUGCCUUUUAGGAAACACUGCUAAGGGCCUGGCUACUAAACCUGUGUCCCUUCAUUCUGUUUCUCCAGUGAGUCUUCAGCCUCAGGGGCUGCUGUGAAGAAGAUGCUGCCGAACCCCUGAGCUGAAGAGCUGUGCACGAGGGGCUCAGGCGGAGGGCAUGCCCCCUGCUCUGCACCAGCACUGGGGCUCUGUCUAUGCUCCAUUUGUGCUGACCAGUCUCAGCCCAGGAGGAAAUCCUGAAGCAUGUUGGGAAUCGGGAAGUGGAAGGAAAGUCAAGGAGACUCUGUGGCUUCUGGACUGGAGCCGUAUAAUAGCUCGGCAGUCUUUAAUGUACACCUCGAAUCUGUGGAAACAUGUACAUAAAUGCUUAGGUAAGUAUAAUACCUUGUUCAUUUGACAUAUUUUACAAUAUGAAUAUGAUGACUCUUCCCAAAUGUGUGGAGUUUUCACCAUAGCACACUAGGCUUAGAGCUAUUUGACAAUAACUUAUUUACACUAUGAAUAAGUUUAGAGUUGAGUUUGCUUAGAAGUUAAGUUAAUGAUAAACAUAUAAUGUAAAAUAUAUGCAUGCAAAUUGGUAUACCUUUUGGGAAGACAAUAUCUAUUAAAAAUUUGCAUAUGUAUACUCUGAUCUGGCAAUCCUACUUCUGGGAAUUUUUCCACUGAAAUAUUCCCACAGUGAUGCUAGAAUAUUGCAUAGGAUGUUUCCUUAAGCAUUGCUUAUAGUGCUGAAUAAUCAAAAAUAAUUCAAGUAUCUUUUUAAAGGAGAUUUGUUAAAUAAAUCAUGCAACAGCUGUAUAGAAGAAUACCAAAAAACUUAAGAGUGGUGAGGCAUUUCUGCAGUUACUGAUAUUGAGAGAUGUCAAAGCAAGGUUACUAUGUGAAAAAGCAAGUAGAAUCUGAUACAAUUCUCUACGGCUGUACAGUCUCAGAAAAGGUCUGUGACAUAUCAGUUCAGUUUAGUCGCUCAGUCAUGUCCGACUCGUGGUGAGCCCAUGGACUGCAGCACAUCAGGCUUNNNNNNNNNNNNNNNNNNNNNNNNNNNNNNNNNNNNNNNNNNNNNNNNNNNNNNNNNNNNNNNNNNNNNNNNNNNNNNNNNNNNNNNNNNNNNNNNNNNNUUCUAGUGAAACAGUUCAGUUCAGUUGCUCAAUCAUGUCCAACUCUUUGUGACCCCAUGGACUGCAGCAUGCCAGGCUUCAUUGUCCAGCACCAAAUUCCGGAGCUUGCUUGAAUUCACUUCCAUUGAGUUGGUGAUGCCAUCCAACCAUCUCAUCCACUGUCAUCCCCUCUCCUCCUGCCUUCAGUCUUUCCCAGCAUCAGGGUCUUUUCCAAUGAAUCAGUUUUUUGCAUUGGGUGGCCAAAGUAUUGGAGUUUUAGCUUUAGGAUCAGUCUUUCCAAUGAAUAUUCAGGACUGAUUUCCUUUAGGAUUGACUGGUUUGAUCUCCAGGCAGUCCUAGGGACUCUCUAGAGUCUUCUCCAAGACCACAGUUCAAAAGCAUCAAUUCUUCAGUGCUCAGCUUUCUUUAUAGUCUAACUCUCACAUCCACACAUGACCACUGGAAAAACCACAGCUUUGACUAGAUGGACCUUUGUUGGCAAAGCAACGUCUCUGCUUUUCAAUAUGCUGUCUGGGUUGGUCAUAGUUUUUCUUUCAAGUAGCAAGCAUCUUUUAAUUUCAUGGCUGC